GAUGAAGAACGUAGCGAAAUGCGAUAAGUAAUGUGAAUUGCAGAAUUCAGUGAAUCAUCGAAUCUUUGAACGCACCUUGCGCCCUUUGGCUAUUCCGAAGGGCAUGCCUGUUUGAGUAUCAUGAACACCUCAACUCUUCGCGGCUUGCCGUGAUGAGUUUGGACUUUGGGGGUCUUGCUGGCCUACGAGCCAGCUCCUCUCAAAUGUAUUAGCUUGCCGGUGUUUGGUGGCAUCACAGGUGUGAUAACUAUCUACGCUUGUGGUUUUCCACUAGGUAACCUUCAGCAAUGGAGGUUCACCGGAGCUCACAAAUGUCUCUCCUUGCCAAGGACAGAUUUUGACCAUUUGAUCUCAAAUCAGGUAGGACUACCCGCUGAACUUAAGCAUAUCAAUAAGCGGAGGA
rnacentral:misc_RNA from 1 species